rnacentral:tRNA from 1 species
GGCUCCGUGGCUUAAUGGUUACGGCUUCGGCCUCACAAGCAGAAGUUUCAGGGAUCAAAUCCCGGUCGGUACCU